UACAGAGGGGGCAAGCGUUGUUCGGAAUUACUGGGCGUAAAGGGCGCGUAGGCGGCCCGCUAAGUCGAACGUGAAAUCCCCGGGCUCAACCCGGGAACUGCGUCCGAUACUGGCAGGCUUGAAUCCGGGAGAGGGAUGCGGAAUUCCAGGUGUAGCGGUGAAAUGCGUAGAUAUCGAGAGGAACACCUGCGGCGAAGGCGGGUUGCUGGGCUGACACUGACGCUGAUGCGCGAAAGCUAGGGGAGCGAACGGG
rnacentral:rRNA from 1 species